AUGACCAUGCUCUGGGGCUUCAUCUGUAAUGACCCGUUCAGUUUCAACAGCAUUAACUUGGAGACACUUACAGAAACUUACAAGAUUCCUUUUUACUUACAAUAUCUUGCCAGAGUAUUUUAUCAUUGCAGAGGCAUCUAGUGGAAAGUUAAUGGAUUGUAUUGUGGGUAAAGCAGAAGGUUCAGUAGCUAGGGAAGAAUGGCACCGUUAUGCCACAGCUCUUUCUGUUGCCCAAAAUUUCCAUAUCUUGGUUUGGCUGUUAAACUCAUAGAGUUGUUGGAGGAAAUUUCAGAAAGG
rnacentral:lncRNA from 1 species